rnacentral:rRNA from 1 species
UGGGGAAUAUUGCACAAUGGGCGCAAGCCUGAUGCAGCCAUGCCGCGUGUAUGAAGAAGGCCUUCGGGUUGUAAAGCACUUUCAGCGAGGAGGAAGGGCAGUGUGUUAAUAGCACAUUGCAUUGACGUUACUCGCAGAAGAAGCACCGGCUAACUCCGUGCCAGCAGCCGCGGUAAUACGGAGGGUGCAAGCGUUAAUCGGAAUUACUGGGCGUAAAGCGCACGCAGGCGGUUUGUUAAGUCAGAUGUGAAAUCCCCGCGCUUAACGUGGGAACUGCAUUUGAAACUGGCAAGCUAGAGUCUUGUAGAGGGGGGUAGAAUUCCAGGUGUAGCGGUGAAAUGCGUAGAGAUCUGGAGGAAUACCGGUGGCGAAGGCGGCCCCCUGGACAAAGACUGACGCUCAGGUGCGAAAGCGUGGGGAGCAAACA